rnacentral:rRNA from 1 species
UACGAAGGUGGCAAGCGUUGUUCGGAUUUACUGGGCGUACAGGGAGCGUAGGCGGUUGGAUAAGCCCUCCGUGAAAAUCUCCAGGCUUAACCUGGAAAGUGCAGAGGGGACUGUUCAGCUAGAGGAUGGGAGAGGAGCGCGGAAUUCCCGGUGUAGCGGUGAAAAUGCGUAGAGAUCGGGAGGAAGGCCGGUGGCGAAGGCGGCGCUCUGGAACAUUUCUGACGCUGAGGCUCGAAAGCGUGGGGAGCAAACAGG